CCUACUGGUGGCAGCAGUGGGGAAUAUUGCACAAUGGGGGGAACCCUGAUGCAGCAACGCCGCGUGGGUGAAGAAGUACUUCGGUAUGUAAAGCCCUUUCAUCAGGGAAGAAAAUGACGGUACCUGACCAAGAAGCCCCGGCUAACUACGUGCCAGCAGCCGCGGUCAUACGUAGGGGGCAAGCGUUAUCCGGAGUUACUGGGUGUAAAGGGUGCGUAGCCGGCCAGGGAAGUCUGGAGUGAAAGCCCGGGGCACAACCACGGGACUGCUUUUGAAACUGUGUUGCUGGAGUGCAGGAGGGGUAAGCGGAAUUCCUAGUGUAGCGGUGAAAUGCGUAGAGAUAAGGAAGAACACCAGUGGCGAAGGCGGAUGACUGGACGGCAACUGACGGUGAGGCGCGAAAGCGUGGGGAGCAAACAGGAUUAGAUACCCUUGUAGUC
rnacentral:rRNA from 1 species